rnacentral:rRNA from 1 species
ACUCCUACGGGAGGCAGCAGUGGGGAAUAUUGCACAAUGGGCGCAAGCCUGAUGCAGCCAUGCCGCGUGUAUGAAGAAGGCCUUCGGGUUGUAAAGUACUUUCAGCAGUGAGGAAGGCGGGUACGUUAAUAGCGUAUUCGUUUGACGUUAGCUGCAGAAGAAGCACCGGCUAACUCCGUGCCAGCAGCCGCGGUAAUACGGAGGGGUGCGAGCGUUAAUCGGAAUUACUGGGGCGUAAAGCGCAUGCAGGCGGUUUUUCAAGUCAGAAGUGAAAGGCUAUGGCUCAACCAUAGUAAGCUUUUGAAACUGUUAAACUUGAGUGCAGGAGAGGAAAGUGGAAUUCCUAGUGUAGAGGUGAAAUUCGUAGAUAUUAGGAGGAACACCAGUGGCGAAGGCGACUUUCUGGACUGUAACUGACGCUGAGGCACGAAAGCGUGGGGAGCGAACAGGAUUAGAUACCCUGGUAGCACAGAG